GCGUUGGCCGUAAGGUCGAUGGCAGGCUAAACCCCGCAUGGAGCAAGACCAAAUAGGGAGGCGUCAUUAGGGCUGCUCGCUCGAGGCUUCCGGGUAGGUCGCAUGACUUUGCCAGCAAUGGCAGGGCUAGAGGAAUGGUCGCCGCCGUACGGCAUGAGCAAUCGUGUCGGAUGGUACAGAAUUCGGCUUACAGUCCGACUGCGACG
rnacentral:RNase_P_RNA from 1 species